UACAGAGGGUGCGAGCGUUAAUCGGAAUUACUGGGCGUAAAGGGCGCGUAGGCGGUUGUGUGAGUGUGGGGUGAAAGCCCCGGGCUUAACCUGGGAAGUGCAUUGCAAACGACACAACUGGAGUAGAUGAGAGGGUGGCGGAAUUUCCGGUGUAGCGGUGAAAUGCGUAGAUAUCUGGAGGAAUACCGGUGGCGAAGGCGGCAUCCUGGACCGGCAUUGACGCUGAGGAGCGAAAGCCAGGGGAGCAAACGGG
rnacentral:rRNA from 1 species